rnacentral:lncRNA from 1 species
GCAUCCAUGUCUUCAUUAUUUGAUACCUCGAAGAAUUGAAAUUCAUCCAUAAGCUUCCUUUUGCACGAAACGAACGGCUUCGGUUUUUUCGGCGCCGGUGGACACGUCAUGAUCUCCGGUAUCUUGCUUUCCUUUGAAGUCGGAGUCCGGUAACUCUCUUCGUUUUCUCCAUCGGCGACGACAGCACCGACAACAGCUUCGCUUUCGCUUUGGCUUUCGUUUUCGUCUUCUUUUUCAAUUUCAAUUUGAAUUUGAAUUUCGCUUUUGAUUUUGAUUUCAGGUGGUGCGAUUACGGUUGACGACAUGGCGUGGACGUGGUCGGGAAUUUGAUCGGCGGAUGAGAUUCGGAGCUUAGGUAGUUGGUGGUGGAUGUGGAGAUCGGUGGACAUGGCCCGUGAAGGAAGGGGGUGUUUGGAUGGUGAGAAAUGAA